GACGAACGCUGGCGGCGUGCUUAACACAUGCAAGUCGAACGAGAGCGUAGAGAAAGCUUGCUUUUUCUACAAUCUAGUGGCAAACGGGUGAGUAACGCGUAAACAACCUGCCCUACGGAUGGGGACAACAGCUGGAAACGGCUGCUAAUACCGAAUACGUUCCGAAAGUCGCAGGACGAACGGAAGAAAGGAUGGCCGCUAGUUAUAAGCUAUCGCCGGAGGAGGGGUUUGCGUCUGAUUAGCUAGUUGGCGGGGUAACGGCCCACCAAGGCGACGAUCAGUAGCCGGUCUGAGAGGAUGAACGGCCACCUUGGAACUGAGACACGGUCCAGUCUCCUACGGGAGGCAGCAGUGGGGAAUCUUCCGCAAUGGGCGAAAGCCUGACGGAGCAACGCCGCGUGAGUGCAGACGGCCUUCGGGUUGUAAAGCUCUGUUAUACGGGACGAAUAAUCUUGUGGUUAAUACCCAUGAGAAGUGACGGUACCGUAAGAGAAAGCCACGGCUAACUACGUG
rnacentral:rRNA from 1 species